UACCUGGUUGAUCCUGCCAGUAAUCAUAUGCUUGUCUCAAAGAUUAAGCCAUGCAUGUCUAAGUACAUGCCGAAAUAAGGCGAAACCGCGAAUGGCUCAUUAAAUCAGUUAUGGUUCCUUAGAUCGUUUUUUCCUACUUGGAUAACUGUGGCAAUUCUAGAGCUAAUACAUGCAGUGAGCCUGAAGCCCUUUGGGCGACGGGUGCUUUUAUUAGACCAAGAUCGAUCGGGUUUCGGCCCGUAUUGUGUGGUGACUCUGGAUAACUUUGUGCUGAUCGCAUGGCCACGAGCCGGCGACGUUUCUUUCAAGUGUCUGCCUUAUCAACUUUCGAUGGUAGGUUACUUGCUUACCAUGGUUGUUACGGGUAACGGAGAAUCAGGGUUCGAUUCCGGAGAGGGAGCCUGAGAAACGGCUACCACAUCCAAGGAAGGCAGCAGGCGCGCAAAUUACCCACUCCCGGCACGGGGAGGUAGUGACGAAAAAUAACAAUACGGGACUCUUUUGAGGCCCCGUAAUUGAAAUGAGUACACUCUAAAUCCUUUAACGAGGAUCAAUUGGAGGGCAAGUCUGGUGCCAGCAGCCGCGGUAAUUCCAGCUCCAAUAGCGUAUACUAAAGCUGCUGCGGUUAAAAAGCUCGUAGUUGGAUCUCAGUUCCAGACGAGUAGUGCAUCUACCCGAUGCGACGGCUCGGACUGAACAUCAUGCCGGUCCUUUCUUGGUGCACUUCAUUGUGUGCCUCGAGAAGGCCGGUGCUUUUAAUUUGAAAAAAUUAGAGUGCUCAACGCAGGCGAGUCGCCUGAAUAAACUUGCAUGGAAUAAUAGAACAAGACCUCGUUUCUGUUCUGUUGGUUUUUGGAAUACGAGGUAAUGAUUAAGAGGGACAGACGGGGGCAUUCGUAUUGCGGCGCUAGAGGUGAAAUUCUUGGACCGUCGCAAGACGAACUACUGCGAAAGCAUUUGCCAAGAAUGUUUUCUUUGAUCAAGAACGAAAGUCAGAGGUUCGAAGGCGAUCAGAUACCGCCCUAGUUCUGACCAUAAACGAUGCCAACCAGCGAUCCGCCUGAGUUACUCAAAUGACUCGGCGGGCAGCUUCCGGGAAACCAAAGUAUUUGGGUUCCGGGGGAAGUAUGGUUGCAAAGCUGAAACUUAAAGGAAUUGACGGAAGGGCACCACCAGGAGUGGAGCCUGCGGCUUAAUUUGACUCAACACGGGAAAACUUACCCGGCCCGGACACUGGGAGGAUUGACAGAUUGAGAGCUCUUUCUUGAUUCGGUCGAUGGUGGUGCACUGGCCGUUCUUAGUUGGUGGAGCGAUUUGUCUGGUUAAUUCCGAUAACGAAGGAGACUCUAGCCUAUUAAAUAGGUGCGGGGUUCCCAGCACCUUACAACCUUCUUAGAGGGACAAGCGGCUCCUAGCCGCACGAAACAGAGCAAUAACAGGUCUGUGAUGCCCUUAGAUGUCCGGGGCCGCACGCGCGCUACACUGAAGGAAGCAGCGUGUCUUUAUCCCUGUCUGAAAAGACUGGGUAACCCGUGGAACUUCUUUCGUGAUUGGGAUAGGGGCUUGCAAUUGUUCCCCUUGAACGAGGAAUUCCCAGUAAGCGCGAGUCAUAAGCUCGCGUUGAUUACGUCCCUGCCCUUUGUACACACCGCCCGUCGCUGCUACCGAUUGAAUGAUUUAGUGAGGUCUUCGGACCGAUGUCCGGCGCGGCCUUUCGGUUGCGCCGGUCUGUUGGAAAGAUGACCAAACUUGAUCAUUUAGAGGAAGUAAAAGUCGUAACAAGGUUUCCGUAGGUGAACCUGCGGAAGGAUCAUUA